UACGUAGGGGGCAAGCGUUGUCCGGAAUUACUGGGCGUAAAGAGCUCGUAGGCGGCCUGUUAAGUCGGGUGUGAAAGCCCUCGGUUCAACCGAGGAACUGCAUUCGAUACUGGCAGGCUAGAGUCUAGCAGGGGGAAGUGGAAUUCCAGGUGUAGCGGUGAAAUGCGCAGAUAUCUGGAAGAACACCGGUGGCGAAGGCGGCUUCCUGGGCUAUGACUGACGCUGAGGAGCGAAAGCUAGGGUAG
rnacentral:rRNA from 1 species